GACGUACACAUGUGGUUCAUCAUUUGUCUGAUAUUGUAUCAUAGUUCAGCUGAGGAAUCUGUUAGUGGAAAACUUCUGUUUGCAAGUACCCAAUCUCAAUCUGUUAUGGAAGUUGAUGUUGAUACACUCAGUGUGACUGUACUUGUUGGUCAUGGAGGAAGUCGUGUGUAUUCUUUGGACUACGAUUAUGAAAACAGAUACGUUUAUUUUCCAAGAAUUGAUUUGAGUGACAUUGUGCGAUUUCCAUAUCCCUCUCAGAACAUAGCACUGC